GGGGAAGCAGCAGCAAUCUGUAACGCACUAGCGACCCGCCCUGACAGCGAGUUUGUAAGGAUGAGGAGGCUCGAGAGGCUUGCGAGCUGCUCACUGCUCGAGAGGCUUGCGAGCUGCGAGCUGCGAGCUGCUGGCUGCUCGAGAGGCUUGCGAGCUGCGAGCUGCUGGCUGCUCGAGAGGCUUGCGAGCUUCGAGCUGCUGGCUGCUCGAGAGGCUUGCGAGCUCCAAGCUGCUGGCUGCUCAAAGGGGAGGAGAGUUGAAGGGAGAAAUCGACAAAAUGGAGCCCUAGCUUUUGACUGGGGAGUCGGGUAGCUCACCUAACAGGGCUCCGAGCUGCAGGCUACUCAAAGGGGGGGAGAGUUGAAGGGAGAAAUAGACAAAACGAGCCCUAGCUUUUUUGACUGGGGAGUCGGGUAGCGCACAUUUUAUUUAAAAAUAAUUUAAACUUUAAAUUUAAAUUUCAAUUAAGAUUAAAAUUUUUAAAUUUCGAAAGGUACAAAAUAUACAAUAUGAUAUUUUAAUUUAAAGCAUAAUGUAAAAAUUAAAAAGUAUAAAAUUUAUAUUUAAAAUUUAAAAUAAUUAUGAAAUAUCAAAAAAAUUAAAUAUUACAUAUUAUAAAUAUAAAUAUAAAUUUUGAAAUGUAAAUAAUUAUGGAAAGAGAAAUAUAUAAUUAUAAUAUUUAUAUUUAUAAUUUAAAAAUUUAAAUUUCAAAGUUUAAAUAAAAAAAAUUUAAUUUAUAUAUUAAAAAUGUAAAUGCUAAAAAUUAACAUUUAAAUUUUAAUAUAUGUCCAAUUUUGUAAUUUAACAUUUAAAUUUUGAAAAGCUUUCCCUACCCUAUAAACGUGGCUUGUACGGCUUAGUAUAGAAAAUUGCACAUCUAGUAUAGAAAAGUGUGCACUAUAGAAGUGUUCCCUUUAACACUACAAAUGUACCAUGUAUAGAAGUGUUCCCUUUAACACUCAAAUGUACCUGAAAUAGAAGUGUUCCCUUUAACACUACAAAUGUACCUGAAAGUAGCUAGAGCACUACAGGUCUUAGCCUACCAUAUUUAACUGGACAUAUAGAUGUGGCAGGUAUAUCGGUGUCCCAUUUAAGACUACAUAUGUGAAAAAUAAAAUCUUCACUAUAAAAGUGGUCAUAUCACUAUUAGAUAUAGGGGUGUGUCAUAUACCAUUCUAGAUGCACCACGAUAAAGUUAUAGAUAGACCCUUUUCGGGCUAACACUUACUUAGCACCGUCAGAUAUAUGGGUGUUCCAACCAAGACUUAAAGUGUACCGAAUAGCCUUAUAAGUAUUCCGUUUCUGGCUAUAAUGUGAAAAAUCAAGUCUUCACUAUAAAAGUGGUCAUAUCACUAUUAGAUAUAGGGGUGUGCCAUACAUCACUCUACAUGCACCUCAGUAAAGCUAUAGUUAGAGCUUUUAUUUUGAGAGUUACUUAACACUGUCAUAUAUAUGGGUGUUCCAACCAAGGGGAUAGCUGUAUCCAACUGCAGUAUAAGUGUUCCAUUU
rnacentral:lncRNA from 1 species